rnacentral:ncRNA from 1 species
CAAAAGUCAGGUUAAAGGUGCCAGACAUUGGCGCUCAUGAAAUACCAGAAAAGGUGUUGGUCGAUAUAGACAGCAGGACGGUGGCCAUGGAAGUUGGAAAUCCGCCAAGGAGUGUGUAACAACUCACCUGCCGAAUCGACUAGCCCUGAAAAUGGAUAGCGUUUGAGCUCCAGGCCCAUACCUGACCGUCUCAAUUACGCACUUUUUUUUCGGAAAAGGUGUAAUGAACGUUGAGACGGGUAGGAAGGUCGCGACAGUGUUGCUUUGAAGAGUUUUGAGCGUGAGCUCGCUCGGAGCCGCUGUUGGUGCAGAUCUUGGUGGUAGUAGCAAAUAUUCAAGUGAGAACCUUGAAGGCUGAAGUGGAGCAAGGUUCCAUGUGAACAGCAGUUGGACAUGGGUCAGUCGAUCCUAAGAAAACGGCGAAAGCUUGUUCGAAUUUGCGACAUGAAUUGUAAGACUGAAUAAUUAUUUGUGUGUGUGUUGUGGUGGAGGCGAUUGUGUCGUCACCAGUUGUUGUUGUGUGCAGUUGUCGUAUUUCGAAAGGGAAUCCGGUUGAUAUUCCGGAACCGAGUAACGGAGACAAAGAGUAGCGCUUUAAUCUCUCUGUGGGGUUGGCGUUCAACUCAAUCGCGCGGUAACGCAAGCGAACUCGGAAAAUGACCGUCGUGAGUUUCGAAAAGAGUUUUCUUUUCUUUUUAAGGGACGCAUUCCCUGGAACCGGGUUGUCCGGAGAUAGGGAUUCUGGUAUCCAUAAAACGCCGACUUUUUCACGGUGUUCGGAGCGCUCUCGUCGGUACGUGAAAAUCCGAGCGACGCCUGGUAAAUCUCGUACUUGGUCGUACUGAUAUCCGCAGCAGGUCUCCAAGGUGAAUAGCCUCUGGCCGAUAGAAUAAUGUAGGUAAGGGAAGUCGGCAAAACGGAUCCGUAACUUCGAAUCCACCACA